AACUUCUGAAUGUUGACCUCGGAUCAGGUAGGAAUACCCGCUGAACUUAAGCAUAUCAAUAAGCGGAGGAAAAGAAACCAACAGGGAUUGCCCUAGUAACGGCGAGUGAAGCGGCAACAGCUCAAAUUUGAAAUCUGGCUCUCGGGCCCGAGUUGUAAUUUGUAGAGGAUACUUUUGAUGCGGUGCCUUCCGAGUUCCCUGGAACGGGACGCCAUAGAGGGUGAGAGCCCCGUCUGGUUGGAUGCCAAAUCUCUGUAAAGUUCCUUCAACGAGUCGAGUAGUUUGGGAAUGCUGCUCUAAAUGGGAGGUAUAUGUCUUCUAAAGCUAAAUACCGGCCAGAGACCGAUAGCGCACAAGUAGAGUGAUCGAAAGAUGAAAAGCACUUUGAAAAGAGAGUUAAAAAGUACGUGAAAUUGUUGAAAGGGAAGCGUUUAUGACCAGACUUGGGCUUGGUUAAUCAUCUGGGGUUCUCCCCAGUGCACUUUUCCAGUCCAGGCCAGCAUCAGUUUUCCCCGGGGGAUAAAGGCGGCGGGAAUGUGGCUCUCUUCGGGGAGUGUUAUAGCCCACCGUGUAAUACCCUGGGGGGGACUGAGGUUCGCGCAUCUGCAAGGAUGCUGGCGUAAUGGUCAUCAACGACCCGUCUUGAAACACGGACCAAGG
rnacentral:rRNA from 1 species